rnacentral:lncRNA from 1 species
UCACUACACCAGGCCCAGCAUAGCUUCUAUUUUUGGUCUUUCCCAUGAUGUAAGUUACCGUUUUCUUCCUAUAGUGUGAAGAUUGCUCCCGGAGCAGUUGUAUGUGUAGAAAGUGAAAUCAGAGGAGAUGUUACUAUAGGUAAGAAAAUGGUUUAUUAAUGUUGUUUCUUAAGAAUUGAUGUAUUAAUCUAUUUUAGUGCUUUACAUUUAGAUAAUACCUUCUAUGUCUGUUUUAUUAGUUUCCUAAUUGUAUUGACAAAACAAUGUGUUUUCUCCUAUGUUUAAUAUUUUGAAAAGAAUAUAAUAUGGUGGAGGCCAUGUUUAAAUUUCUAGCUGAAAUACUAAUGAGACAGUGUUUAUUUAUUCAUGUAUUUGAGACAUAGAAGUUGUGUACCCAUGAUGUAUGUGCCAAGCACUGUUGGCACUAGGGAAAGAGCAGUGAACGUAACAGAGAAAAGUCCUGCCUCUGUGGAAUUUGCAUUCUAGAGUGAUUUAUUAAGAGCAUGCACCAUGGAGUCCACAAAUCUGUUAGCUUGUUCUGUACUCCUUACCUGCUAGGUUAUUUCAGACAUGUUACUUAACCUUACUAACUUUCAUUUUCUCAUCUUUGUAAUUGUGUAUAUCAAGACAAGAUUUACCUGCAUGUAAUGGUAGUUUAAGCACACAAAGAUUUUUUCUUACAUAUAAAAAGUCUAGAAGUAAAUAAUUUAGGGCUGAUCAAUUGAUUGUCCAGCAUGGAGCUCUGGUCUUACAGGCCAGGAAGUGAUGUUUGACUACCAAGAAUCACCUCGAAUGAGAAAAGGGAGGUGUGUAAACAAAAGCACAAGUACUAUAGGAGAGUCAGUUCCUUUUAAAUAGC